rnacentral:rRNA from 1 species
UACGUAGGGGGCAAGCGUUGUCCGGAAUCAUUGGGCGUAAAGCGCGUGUAGGCGGCUCGGUAAGUCUGCUGUGAAAGUCCAGGGCUCAACCCUGGAAAGCCGGUGGAUACUGCCGGGCUAGAGUCCGGGAGAGGCGAGUGGAAUUCCUGGUGUAGCGGUGGAAUGCGCAGAUAUCAGGAGGAACACCUAAGGCGAAGGCAGCUCGCUGGAACGGUACUGACGCUGAGGCGCGAAAGCGUGGGGAGCAAACAGG